UGUCUCAGUUCGGAUUGGAGUCUGCAACCCACUCCAUGAAGCUGGAUUCGCUAGUAAUCGCGCAUCAGCCACGGCGCGGUGAAUACGUUCCCGGGUCUUGUACACACCGCCCGUCACACCAUGGGAGCCGGGAAUGUCCGAAGUCGGUGACCCAACCGAAAGGAGGGAGCCGCCGAAGGCAGGUCUGGUAACUGGGGUGAAGUCGUAACAAGGUACC
rnacentral:rRNA from 1 species